rnacentral:rRNA from 1 species
UUUGAUCCUGGCUCAGAAUGAACGUUGGCGGCGUGGAUUAGGCAUGCAAGUCGUGCGAGAAAUUCCAGCUUGCUGGAAUGGACAGCGGCGAAAGGGAGAGUAAUACGUAGAAAUCUGCCCCCGGGCCUGGGAUAGCGUUGGGAAACUAGCGGUAAUACCGGAUAACGUCUUCGGACCAAAGGUGUGAUUCCGCCUGGGGAUGAGUCUACGACCUAUUAGCUAGUUGGCGGGGUAAUGGCCCACCAAGGCAACGAUGGGUAGCGGGUGUGAGAGCAUGGCCCGCCUCACUGGGACUGAGACACUGCCCAGACAUCUACGGAUGGCUGCAGUCGAGAAUCUUUGUCAAUGGACGAAAGUCUGAACAAGCGACGCCGCGUGCGGGAUGAAGGCCUUCGGGUUGUAAACCGCUGUCGUAAGGGAGCAAAUCUAUUGGGGUACUCCCCUUUAGUUGAGCAAUCUUAGGAGGAAGGACGGGCUAAGUUCGUGCCAGCAGCCGCGGUAAUAAGGG